AAUCAACGCUGGCGGCGUGCCUCAGACAUGCAAGUCGAACGAUUAAACUUUCCUUCGGGAAAGAUAUAAAGUGGCGCACGGGUGAGUAACACGUAAGUAAUCUACCUUCGAGUGGGGAAUAACAUCGGGAAACCGAUGCUAAUACCGCAUAAUGCAGCGGCAUCGCAAGAUGACAGCUGUUAAAGGAGCAAUCCGCUUGAAGAGGAGCUUGCGGCAGAUUAGCUAGUUGGUAAGGUAAUGGCUUACCAAGGCUUCGAUCUGUAUCCGGCCUGAGAGGGCGGUCGGACACACUGACACUGAAUAACGGGUCAGACUCCUACGGGAGGCAGCAGUCGGGAAUUUUGGGCAAUGGGCGAAAGCCUGACCCAGCAACGCCGCGUGAAGGAUGAAGUAUUUCGGUAUGUAAACUUCGAAAGAAUGGGAAGAAUCAAUGACGGUACCAUUUAUAAGCUCCGGCUAACUACGUGCCAGCCGCCGCAGUAAAAC
rnacentral:rRNA from 1 species